rnacentral:lncRNA from 1 species
AUUUUCCUUUUUUACAAAGAACGGAAAAAUAAAACAAAAGGGACUUCCUUUUUCUCUGCUAGGGUUCCAAGCCUAGCUUUGGAACCCCGCUGUCGUCCACCGCAUCUCCACUGCAGUGCCACCGAGGACGGUGGCCGGAGUCACACGGAAAAAGAAAAAAAAGGGGUUUUUUAGCCCGUGCCCACAAAAAUAGGAAAGAAAAAGAAAGCCUUCCUCGUCCCCUCUCUGAAACUCGGCUCCGGCGACGGAGAAAGGGACUCCGGCAAUGGAACCGUGACGCCCAGGUAAGUUUUUCUUUACUUUUCUAUUCUAGUUUUUGUUCGAAUGGAUUUGCAAAAGAAAAUAAAAAUCAAUAAAUAAAUAAAAGAAAGAAAAACAAAUAGGAAACAAUAAAAGAUUUUUAAUCAACCUUUCCAAAUUUCUGUUCUGCUUUUUGAUUGCUUUGUGUGUGUUCGUAAAAAAAUUACAAUGAUAGAAUCACAACCUUUAUAGCCGAAUUACAACAGCUCAUUUCCAUCUUUUGUUUUUUGCUCUUUAUUUCGCCGGAUUCUCCUGUUGCUUUGUAUUUACUCCUCUCUGCAGGUGUCAGACGAGGCCGACGGUGGUGGCAGAAGGCAUGCGCGAUGAGGCAUUGGGCAAAGGCGGCGGCUAGCUUAAAAGAAUAAAUAAUAUUUUGGGCAUAUGAAAGAUAUUUAUUGUGCUAAAAAACUAUAUUAGUUAGUUUAAAGACAAGAUAACACAUAUAAUUGACUUAAUAAAUGAAAAGGCCGAUAUAGGAGGGAGGGGUGGCAAACUAGUAUGGACCUAUUGAAUUUUUUUAUUUUGAUUUUGAUAAUUUAUUUAAACAAACUGAUC